GACGAAUCUAUUGCCUGCCAAGGCGCGUGCUUACCGGUGCGCGCGGAGGGCAGCAAAAAACGGCAGUU
rfam:Acidovorax sp. SCN 68-22 ABS38_C0163, whole genome shotgun sequence.